CAGUAGCCGCGGGAACACGUAGGUGGCAAGCGUUGUCCGGAAUUAUUGGGCGUAAAGCGCGCGCAGGUGGUUUAAUAAGUCUGAUGUGAAAGCCCACGGCUCAACCGUGGAGGGUCAUUGGAAACUGUUAAACUUGAGUGCAGGAGAGAAAAGUGGAAUUCCUAGUGUAGCGGUGAAAUGCGUAGAGAUUAGGAGGAACACCAGUGGCGAAGGCGGCUUUUUGGCCUGUAACUGACACUGAGGCGCGAAAGCGUGGGGAGCAAACAGGAUUAGAUACCCCCGUAGUCCCUGUCUCUUAUAC
rnacentral:rRNA from 1 species